CCACCACUGACAUCAUCAUCACUGGGGGUGUAAAAGUUAACACUCUCUCUGAGAUCUCCAAUACCCAGCGAUGUGCCACCCCUACAAAGAAGCAAGAACAGCAAGGAAUGUCUCAGGAGACUCCUCACCUCUCCCAGUAUCGGUUAUUAGUACAACCCUACUGAAUAAAGGAUAUUGUCACUGUCUUGAUUUUAGUACUAAAUAAAAAAACUUACACGCCCUUA